GUUGCCUUGGUAGUGAUGUUUUAUUACAACAAUAGAAAAGUAAUUAAUACAAUGGAUUUGUGGCGGUAGUGAUUGGCACUGGUUGUUUUCAUUUUUGGAGAUAGGGUCUUGCUCCAUAGCCUCAAACUCCUGAUCCUAUUGCCUUAGCUUCCAGAAUAUGGGAUGACAGGUGUGUGCCAACACCACACCAGAUAUCACUACUGACUUUGAAGAUAGAAGGUGCUGUGGAACAAUCUUUACUAAAUAAUACAGCAAUGAAGACCUGGGAACCAAUCUUGACUUUCACUGUUUCCCUUCCCCACCCCUAAUUUUCACAAUUUUACAGAGAACAUUUUAAUAAAUAAAGUUUGCUGUGGAAUAA